GAGGGAAAGUUGAAAAGAACUUUGAAGAGAGAGUUCAAGAGUACGUGAAACCGCCUAGAGGGAAACGGAUGGGACCGCGAGGCUCGCCUCCGGGAUUCAGUUCGCCCGGGCUAGGCUGGCUGCUGCGUGGGCACCCUCACGGGGCCGCGUGGCGGCCUGGCUCGGUCUGGGUGGGCGCACUUUCCGGGGCACACACGUCGGGACCGCUUCGUGGGCGUUCAGUAGUCUGCCGAGGACAGGUAGCCGCCCUCGGGUGGCGUUUGGCCUGGUGGACGGACAGCGUCUGUGGAUCGAGGUUUAAUACAUCCUGCCGCGGCACGGGCACCGCGUUCCCGGCGAUCGAGCGACUGGUGAGGACUGUUCGCAGUGCUCGCCGACUGCCGGCCGUCGUGGUGAGCGAGGACUGUCCCGUUACCCGCCAAUGGGUCCCCGACCUUUCACAGUGGCACCCCAUCCGACCCGUCUUGAAACACGGACCAAGGAGUCUAACAUGUAUGCGAGUCAAUGGGUCUGCAUACCCAAGGGCGUAGUGAAAGUGAACUAGGUGAGAUCCGUUGUCCUCCGGGGCGCGGCGCACCACCGGCCCGUCCCAGGUCACGUCUCUUC
rnacentral:rRNA from 1 species